GGGAAAACACGAUACAGUCUGUCCUUGGCACCCUGCCCUGAUUUGCACUCAGCGCCGAAGACUUGCGCACCGCCCCACUCCGCUCCCGUCUGCACUCGAUCCCGUUCGCUGCUCUAUAAGUAUGGUGCCCCCGACCGUCAGCACAUUCAGCAACUCGGUGCGAAUAGAAGCGAACUACCUGAGAAGCGGAGAAGAAGGAGGAAAGCAUUAAGGAUGUCUGACACCCCGUGCACGUGCUUCCAGAGCGGUUCUUGUAGCUGCGGAGACAACUGCAAGUGUCAGAACUGCAAGUGCACCUCGUGCUGCUGCGCCUGUUGCCCAGUCGGCUGCAGCAAGUGCGCCCAGGGCUGCGUGUGCAAAGGAGAAGGGGACAAGUGCAGCUGCUGUCAGUGAAGCUCGUCACCCGGGACCAGCCAACACGCCUUGCUUUGUAACGUGGACUUUUGUAUGAUUAUUCACUGGGGGGGGGGGGGGGUUAUAAUCAAGAAUGUUAAUAAUUUCUCUUUUGUACUUUGUUCUGGAUGCAUUGAACUGCAUCUGAUUAAAAUACUAUAGAAAAAUA